AUACAGAGGUCUCGAGCGUUGUUCGGAUUCAUUGGGCGUAAAGGGCGCGUAGGCGGCCUGGCAAGUGGAAGGUGAAAUCCCUCGGCUUAACCGAGGAACUGCCCUCCAAACUGCUUGGCUUGAGUCCGGGAGAGGUGAGUGGAAUUCCCAGUGUAGCGGUGAAAAUGCGUAGAUAUUGGGAGGAACACCAGUGGCGAAGGCGGCUCACUGGACCGGAACUGACGCUGAGGCG
rnacentral:rRNA from 1 species